GAUGUACGCUAGCGGCAGGCCUAAUACAUGCAAGUCGAACGGUGUCUUCGGACAUAGUGGCGCACGGGUGCGUAACACGUAUGCAACCUACCUUACAUUGGGGGAUAGCCUUUCGAAAGGGAGAUUAAUACCGCAUAAGACAGUAGCUGGGCAUCCAGCAGCUGUUAAAGAUUUAUCGAUGUAAGCUGGGCAUGCGUCCAAUUAGCUAGUUGGUGAGGUAACGGCUCACCAAGGCAAUGAUUGGUAGGGGAACUGAGAGGUCAAUCCCCCACACUGGCAAUAGGAGCCGGGCAGGACUCCUACGGGAGGCAGCAGUAGGGAAUAUUGGGCAAUGGACGCAAGUCUGACCCAGCCAUGCCGCGUGCAGGAUGAAGGCGUUAUGCGUUGUAAACUGCUUUUAUACAGGAAGAAACGACUCUUGCGAGAGGCAUCGACGGUACUGUAUGAAUAAGCACCGGCUAACUCCGUGCCAGCAGCCGCAGUAAUAC
rnacentral:rRNA from 1 species